GCCAAAUGAUAUUGAUAGAAGGGCCAGCUAUGUAUUACUAAGAUAGAAGCCAAUAUAUUUUUAAAUUUUUUCCAGGGAUCAUUAGAAGUUUAUCUUGUAAUGUUUCUCUAUUGAUGUUUAUUGAUGUUUGUAAAUGGAAUGAAGUACUACUGAGCAUAUUUAUGAAAAGGUACUAUAGGGGAAGAGAGGGUGCAAUAAAUAAUGGGACAUGAAUAUGUUUCUAAGGAAAUGGUAACCUCAAGGAAGGGAAGCAUUAGUCAAUCUUUUCUUUUUUUUUUUUUUUAUUAACUUGAGUAUUUCUUAUAUACAUUUCGAGUGUUAUUCCCUUUCCCGGUUUCCGGGCAAACAUUCCCCUCCCCCCUCCCCUUCCUUAUGGGUGUUCCCCUUCCCAACCCUCCCCCCAUUGCCGCCCUCCCCCCAUAGACUAGUUCACUGGGGGUUCAGUCUUAGCAGGACCCAGGGCUUCCCCUUCCACUGGUGCUCUUACUAGGAUAUUCAUUGCUACCUAUGGGGUCAGAGUCCAGGGUCAGUCCAUGUAUAGUCUUUAGGUAGUGGCUUAGUCCCUGGAAGCUCUGGUUGCUUGGCAUUGUUGUACUU
rnacentral:lncRNA from 1 species